rnacentral:rRNA from 1 species
AGUUUGAUCCUGGCUCAGGAUGAACGCUGGCGGCGUGCCUAACACAUGCAAGUCGAGCGAUUCUCUUCGGAGAAGAGCGGCGGACGGGUGAGUAACGCGUGGGUAACCUGCCCUGUACACACGGAUAACAUACCGAAAGGUAUGCUAAUACGAGAUAAUAUACUUUUAUCGCAUGGUAGAAGUAUCAAAGCUCCGGCGGUACAGGAUGGACCCGCGUCUGAUUAGCUAGUUGGUAAGGUAACGGCUUACCAAGGCGACGAUCAGUAGCCGACCUGAGAGGGUGAUCGGCCACAUUGGAACUGAGACACGGUCCAAACUCCUACGGGAGGCAGCAGUGGGGAAUAUUGCACAAUGGGCGAAAGCCUGAUGCAGCAACGCCGCGUGAGCGAUGAAGGCCUUCGGGUCGUAAAGCUCUGUCCUCAAGGAAGAUAAUGACGGUACUUGAGGAGGAAGCCCCGGCUAACUACGUG